UUUUAAUCUAAAAACAGUUAGUAUCAUUUGCAAACCUCUUCCACCGUCACAACUCACAAAGCUCUUCAGUUCUUCACCUCUUCUGUUCUUCUCAACGUCGCUUUGCUCUACGACCUAAUAGUAACUUUUGGAAGGUUUCUUCCAUUUCCAGCCAAGCCAACCUCCUAAUCUCAGUAGAGCCAAGCAAAAGUUCAUUUGUACUUUUCCUAUUUGUCAUUUUUCAUGAUCCUCACCUUAGUUUUUUCUAGGGUUUCGAAAUUGCAAAAAGGGGUAAACUACAAAUCUGGAAAAGGCUUGUCGUCUGAGUCUGAAUCGCUGUUGGAAAUCAUACAAGUUGUUUGAACUUUCUAUCUUUUUGGUUCAAAGGACUCAUUUGCUUCUUCAUCUUCUGGGAUUUUCGGCUCUAUCUUUGCACCUUCGUCCCAGAUGGAUGUUGCCCAAUUCAGAAAACUCAGUUUUAGCCUCGACUGCGAAUGAUAUGCGCCGUGAUAAGUACACCCCCAUUGAUUCUGGAAAGUUUAAGUCCGCAGCUAUAGGGCUAUCUCAAAGUCAUAUCCACUAGCUGUUCACCCAAGAUUGAGUUUGAUCAGAAUUUUAGAUUAUUCACAUUCAAAGAAUGACCUCAAUGAAGUUAUAAAGAUCAUUCCAAGUAUUCCAUUACUCAAGAUCACAUCAAGGAAAGAAACGGAUACAAAGAAGAGUUGAAGUUGCAAAGAAAAAUAGCUUGGACUACAAUGAGCAAGAAAGCAACUCAAAGGAAGGAAGAAAGCAAGACUACCUCAAAGCCUAAAGAUCAUGAACAAAGCUUGAAGAAAGGGUAGAUAGGAUGAGUGAGUGCUCCGCGGUAUACGAUGUUGUCGAUGCAGACAAAUUUGAAUAUGCCUCCACUUCCUUCCAAUAUGACGGAAAAGGUUCUUCCAGUUGCACCAACACAAUCAAAGACCAGUGGGGGUGAAUGAUGGGAGGAACAUCGAUCCAUCUGAGCUGCAAGAGAAGUUGACCGACUUAGUCAUUCGGACUUCAAGUUAGAUCCCUUUUUAAUUUUUGUUUCUCUGAUGUUUUUGUUUUCAAACUAGAAUGGGGCUUUAAGUUGGAUUUUGAAGUGUGAACUUGUGGUGCUUGUGGGGGCUACUUUCUACUCUUGGGAAGUUUGUUGUCUAUAUUUUUGUUCCUUAUGUGAACUAGUACUGAAAACAUAGCAAAGGAAAUGUCUCUCUACUAUAAUGAAUCUGCUAUUGAGGAAUGAUGCACGGAAGAUAUAGAUGUUUAUGACGCACAGAAGAUAUAGAUGUUGAGUCCAUUUUCUAGUCAUGAUGCCAAUUCAAUUAAGGGUAAUUCAAAUCAAAUGGGCAAGAAGACUUGUUGAAGUUGAAGCUAAAGAUGGGGUCGUGGCUGUGCUUUCUGAAUUUCCUUCCCCUUGGAUGGGUCCUUUUUGAAAAACUUGUACUACAUUUGUCAAAAAUUCUUAAUUCUUUUUGUGUGACAUUUAGUAGCUUUAUCUAGACAAUUUGGAUGGUAUUUUCAUAUUGGUAGGUUAACUUGUGGUUAUAUUAGUAUACAUUUUAGCUUUUUGGUUGACAUUUACCAACUUUAUCAAUUAGUAGCCAAUUUCGAUGGUAUUUUUCAUAUUGGCAGCAGGUUAACUUGUGGUUGUAUCAUGUAAAAACAAUUUGGACGGUAUUUUUAUAUUGAUUUGUGUUAUAUUGGAUAACAUUUAGUAGCUGCAAAAAUUAAAAAAAUAAAAAAUUUAAAAUGACCGCUCUACCACCGCUUGUUCAAAAAGCGCUGGCAUAGGGGGAAAAAUAAAAAAUAAAAAAUAAAAUAAAAUGACCCCAAUACCAGCGCUUUUUGAAAGAGCACUGGCAUAGGGAAAAAUAAAAUAAUAAAACAAAAAUUAAAAUGACCCAAGUACCAGCGCUUCUUGAAAAAGCGCUGGCAUAGGGGAAAAAAAAUAAUAUAAAAAAAAAAAUUUUAAAUGACCCAAGUACUGGCGCUUCUUGAAAAAGCGCUGGCAUAGGGGGAAAAAAAUAAUUAAAAAAAAAUUAAAAUGACCCCAGUGCCAGCGCUUCUUGAAAAAGUGCUGGCAUAAGGGGAAAUAAAAUAAUAAAAAAUAAAAUAAAA